rnacentral:rRNA from 1 species
GAUGAACGCUGGCGGCGUGCUUAACACAUGCAAGUCGAACGGGGAACAAAUUAUUGAAGCUUCGGCAGAUCUAGCUUGUUCCUAGUGGCGGACGGGUGAGUAACGCGUGGGUAACCUGCCUCACACUGGGGGAUAACAGUCAGAAAUGGCUGCUAAUACCGCAUAAGCGCAUAGUACCGCAUGGUACAGUGUGAAAAACUCCGGUGGUGUGAGAUGGACCCGCGUUGGAUUAGCUAGUUGGCAGGGCAGCGGCCUACCAAGGCGACGAUCCAUAGCCGGCCUGAGAGGGUGAACGGCCACAUUGGGACUGAGACACGGCCCAGACUCCUACGGGAGGCAGCAGUGGGGAAUGUUGCACAAUGGGGGAAACCCUGAUGCAGCGACGCCGCGUGAAGGAAGAAGUAUCUCGGUAUGUAAACUUCUAUCAGCAGGGAAGAAAAUGACGGUACCKACUAGAGCCCCCGWYUUKG